UGUAACAAACUUCAGUUAAUUAUUUAUAUGAUUUAUUUUACACCUAGGACUAUAUUUUAUGUUAUCUCUUAUUUUCACUAACACCGGUAAUCUAGUCAAGCAGACCUUGUUUAUCACGUGAUUACGCACCUAUUGAAAUUUAACAGGUGAGUCUCAAAUCAGUCGGCACAUGAUCAUUGAGAGUAGCACACGUUUGUGCAGUUGGGUUUGUGGUUUAGAUAGCAAUUUGGACAUUAUAAUUGUCAGGACAGGACAUGGAUGUCCAAAGGCUAAUUGAAACAACACUCAGGGGUUUUUAGGCCCGGUUUUAGUGUGCGUUGGCACGUUGCUAAUUGUCGACUGGUCGGAGAUAAUGGUGUCGAUGAAUUAAUGGUGUCGGGGUUAAAAAUGGUAACAACUCAGUGAUAUAUUGGUUGGAGUUACAACGCAUGGAGGCGGUGAUAAAUUUAUAGUCCGUUUCUAUUUAUUUGGAGCAAAAAGUCCGUAAAAUUAUAUACAUUUUUAGUUGAGAAAUCGAGAAGUCCGUGCAGUAUUUAUGCAGUUUAAAGCAGUUAUAGUUUGUUAUUCAGCAUUAUAUUUAUUCAUACAAAUUUAGUGUUCUCUUCAAUCAAUUUAGAAGCAACCAAAUAUAUGUGAAAAUUAGUUAAUUCGUCCGUUUAAUUAUAAAGAGAAAUUUAAAGGGGAACAACCCAGUUCAUCAUUUACAUCUACAGUACGUACAACGAGGAACGUAUCCGGGCAGUGUGCGGAAAGUGUGCAGGCCGAAAUUUGUUUGAUUUAUGUUUAUUUCAUGACAUUUUGUUUUGUUCCGUGUGUGUUUAUUUAGUUACAUUUGUGUUCUCAUUUCAUAUUACAUUUUUUGUUGAAUUUACUUUAUUUUGUUUUGUUAAUUAAAUUUAUAUUUUAA